AUCGUUCAGCAACGGAUGUCUUGGCUCCGACAACGAUGAAGAACGCAGCGAAAAGCGAUACAUCGUGCGACUUGCAGAAUCCGGUGAACCAUCAUCAACUUCCACUCUAUCACGGCCAGCACACCAUGUUCUCGUAGACUCC
rnacentral:rRNA from 1 species